rnacentral:lncRNA from 1 species
UAAAAUUUGUACUAAAAUUUUAUAUAAAAAUUAUUGUCAACAUUUCAUGCAUCCAACUUUAACUUGCAGCCUUCAGAGUACAGUCAGUGUGAUGUUUUGCCCAGAGACUGCUGUUAUCCCAAAUGAGAAGGAAUGUGUGGUACUAUUAGAAAUGAAUACAUCAAGCUAUAGUCAAACACCAGGAGAUAAAUGGAGAUAUAAAGACAGCACAAGCAAGGGGAGAAGCAGAGGCAGAGUAACAAGCAGACUUCAGAGCCCCACAUGGUGCUCCAUCCCACAACCCUGAGAUCAUGAGCUGAAAUCAAGAGUUAGAAGCUUAACCUACUGAGCCACCCAGAUUUUGGACCAUGCAAAAUGGCUUAUUGGAGUUGAGAUCAGCAUGCAUUCUACUGAAGCUUACUGGGUUUGAAGCAUCAGCUAUCCAAGAUCUCUCUCAUGGAACAUCAGCUGUAGGCCCUAUAUUUUCAUAUUCCCAACAGUUGGUGUAGUCAUGGGGAAUCACAGAUAACUAAGCUGGAAGAGAUUUUUAAAAAUCAUUUGGUUCCAACCAUUUGUGCUAUAUUCCAAUGUAACUCUUCCCAACUGCCAUUAAACCACACUUCUAAAUUCUCCUGUUUUGUUGAUCUUUCCAGUGAAAUAGUUCUUGCAUAUUGCCAACCUAUUGGUAAAUUUUCAUCUUUAUCCUACUCCAUUUCUCAGCAGCAUUAGACACAAUAAACCAUGAUAGCUUUCUUGAACCACUGUCUUGACUUCGCUGCCAUGACACUUUUCAGUGGCUACUGCUUCUCAUCUUACUUUUCUGGUUCCUUCUUUUACACCUGAUUUCUAAACAUCCUCUGUGCCCCAGGGAUCAGACUUAAGCCCUUUUCUCUUUUUUCUAUAGAUAAUUUCAUCUAGUCCUGUGGCUCUAAAUGCCCUCUAGAUUCUGUUGACUCUCAAAUUUAUAUCUUUAUUGCUGAAUAUCCAGGAACUCCAGAUCAUGUGGUAUGUCCAUUUCCAUGAAUCAAUCUAGACAGCUAAUAGGCAUCUGAAAUUUUACAUGUACAAAGAAACCAAUUGGUUCCCACAAUCCUUUCCCUUGCACUGUGAACUUACGUAGGCCACACAGACAGUGGCAACCCCAGAAUUCUUUAUUUUCCCUUAAAUCCCAUGUGAAAAUGCAUCAGCCAAACAUGUUAACAUUAUUAGCAAGACUAAUCCAAAAUUGUAGUGGAUUUAUUAUGUGGAAAUUACCCCCUAAGUAUAUCUCCAAAGAAAAGCCACAUGACCCUCUUUCUCUAGGCCAUGAGAAAUAAAUGGUGAGUGGCAUGCCAACAUCCUUCAGAAAUGAAUUGUGGAGAAUUUUUUUCUCUAAUGUAGCAAUACUCAUGGUCUUACUUGCUGAUAGAAAUGAAAAUAUCAACCAAAAAAUAUCAAAGCUACUAUAGAUUCACUAUGGAUUCAAGCUCAGCAAAAAUCAACAAAAUGGGGUUUUGUCAUGAGAGACACUACAGAUGAAAAGGACUCCCUCAGAAGUUAGGUGAAUUUUGGAGAAUAUUAAUAGAUUACCACAAGGUAGUGAACUGUUGGUCCAAUCAUGCUUUUCUCACUGAAGAUUUUAUUUCUACCUCUGGUGAAUGGUAAGCAGAUAUUAACCUUAAAAAUGACAUUUUGUCUUGCCCAACAUAGUUGAAAACUCCAGAAAUUUGAUUACACUGAGCAGGGAUAGUAAUACAAAUUCAUAGUAUUGUCUCAAGGAUUUAUGCCAAAUAGAGCCACAGCCUGCGGAAUCUUGAUUAUCUUAUCAUGCUAUAGGUUAUCACUCACCUACUGAUGUCAUUAAGCUGACAAGACUUAGAAGGCCAGUUUGCUAGUGCCUCCAAAGCCCACAUAGGACAAGUAUGUACCCAGUGAAGGGUGGGAAAUUCAAGGAAAUACAAACUCCUGAAACCUCACUGAAGCUUUUGGGGGAUCAAUGAGUAGAGUAGUUGUCAACACCAGGGGAUAAGUCACUUCAUCAUAGAUCACUUACUUUAAGAAAGACACACAAUGCUUAUUAGACUACUUGCUAUUUUGAUGAUGGAGUAUAGCUUUGUGUAAUUCAAAAAGGCAAAAAUUCAGUAUAUAAAUAUAAAAGUGUGCAUUUAUCAAUAUUUUGAGGUAGAACAAAGGCUUUGUGCAAAAAAAUGGGCUUUGUUUUUCUUUGCUUAGAUUAUCAUUUUCUUAUUUAUAUCCAUAUUUAAACUUUUCUAAACUGGGUGAGAACUUAGAAACACGAGCAAAGCAAUUUAAGUGCAGAGAUCUUUACAGACAUAGAUUUCCCCCAGUUUUUAUUGUCUCAUACCUAAUUGAUCAUAAUUUUAAAAUACUUAAUUUUAUUAAGUAUUUCCAUACAUUUAAUUUAGUUUUUUUCUUUUAAAGAUUUUAUUUACUUAUUUGACACAGAGAGAGAUAGUAAGAGAUGAACUACAAAUUGUGGGGGGUGUGAUGUGUGAGGGAGAAAUAGGCUUCCCAGUGAGCAGAAAGCCUGAAGCUGGGCUGAAUCCCAGGACCCUAGGAUCAUGACCUGAGCUGAAGACAGAUGCUUAAGGUGCUCCCAUUUAACUUAGUUUUUAAAGAAUCAACUUUCUUUUCACAUUCAUAUUUCACUUAGUUUAUAUAAUAAUUAAUUAACAAGCAAUUACCGGUAGAAGCACUAUAUACACAAAUAGGUAUCAGAAUAAGUACAAUGGAAUUUCGGCAAGCAUAUAACAACUCAAUUAGUGGACAUAAAAGAGUGUAUAUAAAAGCAUUUGUUCAUUUUGCAAACAGGUAAAAGUUAAGUGAAGAUAGGUUAACCAAGACCAAGAGAAGAGAAGUGUGUAAGCAGCUUUACUGCUUAGCCCUUAUGGUCCAAUAGAUUCAAUGGUGCUGAAAUUGUUUGUGGCAGAUUGGAAUACUCUAUGGCUCUUAAAGAACCCCAUAUUUUAGCGGUCCAACCAACUACGUAGUGGCAGGCACAUUGGACAGCUUCUCUCAUUCUCAUGAGAAUAGAUAUUUAUUUUGAAAUUUAAAAAACACCCAAAACAAACAGACUUACUAAUACCAAUGUGCAUAUAGGGAAAACAUUAAGUGUUGACCUAGGCUAUUUAAUAGACAAUAAGAUAUUGACACACAGUAGAAACAGAGAGGAGUAUGAACAAAACCCAACUGGUUCCCUGGGGAACCUCAUGGUAUUUGACCCAGUGAUAGAUGUAAGAAUAGAUAAGAUGGCUAGGAGAGUGUAAACCUGUAUUGGAUGUAUAAAGGUUUUACUUACUCUUUAACUUUGGUGGAAGCUAAAGUGGAGUAUAUAACCCUACCCCUCACUUUUUGGCAGCUAAACAUAGACUUCAGAUCUAGUUCAGCUAUAGCGUUGCUUUAGUUUCAGAUAUUUAACUUUGAUGCUGCUGGGGAGGAAAAAUUUUCUUGUACCCUUCAAAGAUUCUUCCAACUGGUGUGAGGAUUAAUUUGAAAGGAGACAAAAAAAAAAAAAAAAACCAGGAGAAAAUAAAAUUUAAUUUUCUAUAUACAGGAACCCCAUAUACCUGAGAGAUUCAAAGACAGAAAGGUAAAAUGAGGCAUAUGUGCCCAUCCUGAGUUAAGGAAUGUCAGAGGGCCCUGGGGACUCAAAGGGGAGGAGGUCAAUUCACAGGGCACUGUGAAUUCACAGGGCAUUGAAGAACAAAUAAUUUGGUAAUUAGCUGUUUGCUCAGCCAUACAUAUGGGCCACUCAGUUAAAAUAUCUCUAGUAAUAAUUCAUUCUGGGAAAGACACUCAGUUUAGAUUUUUCUAUAUAGUUAAGAGAAGGGCAAAAGUUUCUCUCAAGCCUACAGGGUCUCAGUUGCCUUCAGCUCAACAGUACACCUACUAUUGCAAAAAUAGCUUAUGGCAUACUUUUUUUUUUCUUUCUUUCUUAUUGAUUUUAAUUCAGCCUAGUAUUUAUUGAGCUACUACAGCUCAAAGUAGUCCACAUGCCGAAGUGGCACAUUUUGGGAAUACUUGCACUGAACCCAUUCAAGGUUAUGAGGUAAAGGCAGGGGCACUGGUUAGUGUUUAUUUUUGUGGUGAUGCUCAGCACUUGUGAGGCCAAUGGUAUGGCAGCAACGGUUCAAUCAUUGCUGCAGUCAGUAGCAGGAAGUCAGCAAGCAUCUAAUUGCCUUGCUCCUUGACCUCCCAUGGCCUUUACUUAUUUCUAAGCUUGCUCAUUUGCAUACCAGCUGAUUCUUUGGGCUUUCUGUAAAUCCUUUUAUAAAUUCCUCUUCUGAAAUAGUGGGCUAGAACUACAUUCUUUUGUUUGCAACUAAGAAUUCUGAUUUGGUAGUGUAUUUUAAACACACAAACAUAUUUCGCCUUUCACAACAGGCAUAGAUUUAGUACAUUUAUGUGGCAGGAAUGCCAACUAGGCUGAAACUGAAGACAAUUUAAGCAAGAAUAGAAUUGUAACUUUACUUGUGAUUUUCUUUCCUUUUUAAAUGAUAUUCGCCUAACCCAUUUGUAUGCUUGCACAACAACUACUCUAUACAUUAGCUACUAUUUUUACAAAUGUUUAGAAUUAAUAUUUACAAAGUUGGCCUGGAGUUUUUUCCUUUUCAAUAUUCUGCCAGAAUUAAAUAUAUUUUAACCUUAAGAAUAAAAGUACACCUACUAUUGCAAAAAUAGCUUAUGACAUACUUUUUUUUUGAACAUUGAAAAAUUUUUGUUUACACUUACAUUUCUUCUGAAAAUUAUCUUUAAAGUAUGGAAGAUUUUAUGUAUGUCACCCUUAUUUUUCCCCAUUUUAUUACCCUCUUAAGUUUACUUUUAUACUUUUUGCCAUAUGAUAUGAAAGUUUUAAGUCGCUAUUUUAGUGAACACAAUAAUCUUUUCUUGGUAUUUUUCUUCUUUAUUUUUGAUCCUGGGCCUUGAUUACACUGCCACUACCCUUUGUCCCUUAAUCACGGGGGAGUUAAUAACAGCUUCCUGCUGUUGCUACAUUAUGCAUUACCUUUUUGGGUUUUCAGCUAUACUAUCAUAGGAAAAAUCAAUUUUCUGUAUUAAACUUUCUUUGUUUAAAAUCUUUAGAUGGGGAGUCACUUUUAAUUAACUGGAAAACCUCUGGACUUUGUUUCUCUAAAUAGUAUAAGAAAUGAAUUUACCUUGGUCAUUUUUUUUUAGCAAUUUGACAAGUUGUUACAAAAAGAGUUGUUUAAACAUCCAAUGUUAUAUGAGAAUUACAAAUGCCUGUAAUUUGUUAUUACACUGAGUAAAUCUGUUUCUGUACUUACAACCUGUUCC